ACCCAGGCUCAGUUUGAAGGCCAGAAGUAAAAUUUUCAUUGAAUCAAUAUGCUCAGCAGUUUUGUAUUCUCUUUAAAUAGAUCAAAUCCCUUGCGCUUACAAUCCCAUGAUGGGAACAUACGAAGUCGUGUGGAGUAUUUAUAUUGUCAACUUAUCCGGUCAUUUUAAUGUAACAAAAAAUUAUUUAACAGACAACAACAGAAGAAGAGGAAAUCGAAGAAAAAACAAGCCUUGUUUCCGUCUGUAAAGCUGUUUUCAUUGGUGGUAGCGCUACACCCAUAGAAAAGGUUGCAAAAAUCCAAUGCCUAUUUAGCAAAUCUCCGAAAAUACACUGAAAAGUGUAGUGUGCCAAAGAUGACAUGAUUGGAAAAGCACUUCUGGCAUAAAGACUCGAGCUCCCUAGCCAAAUGACUACAUUCAAGCGAAAUAGGAAAAUCAUUUUAUGGGAUUUUCAUCCUACUGGAUAAUUCAUUCCAAAAAAGUAUAGUGGGAAUCGAACCGACUGCAACAUCUUAUCUUGUCUUACCAAAUCUUACCUUACCAAAAAAAAGCACUGCAUUGGUCGUCUGCCGUUUGGCCGGUGUAUUUUGUUCAUCCUCCUCUGUCUUUGAUGGUAAAGGGAUGAGAAUGGGAGGACACAGAAUCUUAUACCAAUAAUUCCACCUCCAAGAAAGUUCAUUGUUGGAGUAAAGUCUGAUUUGUGGGUGUAGCAAUUACCAAUGCCUUUUUCAUCAGUCUCGCCAAACUGGGAAAACUGGUCUAUCAACUUGACGGUAGUUCCGGUGGAUUGCAAUGAGUUUUCGUGAAUAACAUUCAGCCGACAGAAUGGGAAGAGGAAGAUCAACACCGUCGCUCAACUAUCAACUUAACAGACCCAGAUCACCAGUGACCAGAUCCAAUUUCGGGUCGACUGUGGAAGACUGCGUCCCACCAUCAGCAACAAUUGGCUGUGAUAUAUGCAUUGCGAUUGCGCUGGGAGGACAAUGCCAGUUAUUAGAUAGCUUGUUGAUGCCGGUCCGGCAUAAAAUUUUAUACCAAUAAUUCCACCUCCAAAAAAGAUCAUUGUUGGAGUAGAGUCUGAUUUGUGGGUGUAUCAAUCACCAAUGCCUUCUUCAGCAGUCUGGCCAAACUGGGAAAAGCGGUCUAUCAACUUGACGGAAGUCCCGGUGUAUUGGAAUGAGUCUUCAUGAAUCAUCCACUUUCAGCCGGCAGAAUGAGAAAUUCAACACAAUCACUUCAGUGCCCGGAUCCAAUUUCGGGUCGACUAUGGAAGACCGCGCGCAUCACCAUUAGCAAAAAAUCUUAUGUUGAGACGAUAAGUACAUACGGUCUUAAGGCGGCCAUACAUUACACAAGUUGCGUGUGUAAAUUCGAUAAUUCUUCGACGAUUGUUUGAUUCUAUGCACGACCAAAAAAAAACACCUCCACCCCCGCUGGGGCGGAGUAAAUGGCCUAAAAUUUGUACAAACAGCACCAUACACAAACUGUUUGCCCGCUCAUCCAAGCAAUGUUAUACACGAUGCAAAUCGUAUUGGAAGCGCAAGAAUUUCAUUGACUCUUAUAGCAUUUGUACAAAUGUGGCGUAGCGUAUGGCCCGCUUUACUCAAACCGACUGCGUACUCAUUCAAGCAGUGCCAUACACGCUGCAAAUUCGCAUUCGCAGUAGCAAAAUUUCAUCGCAUUUGAAUAAGUGGGCCGCUAAAACGGACGCCUGUUGUGGUCCUGUAUAUAUUCUUCGAAUACCGUGGAUUCCUCGCGACGUAUGCAGACGUUUUUGGCUCAGGAAAUUGGCAACGGUGCCAGUAUCGAUCUGCAGAAUAGAUGGAUAUAAAAACAAGAUGAUUUAUGACCGUUUUAAACACACCGCUCUGGGAAUUUCUACAACCAGCGUAAUCAAAAGAUGUCGAUUCGAUGAUGGACGGAAAAGAGCAAAAGUUUACUAUAUAAUGCAAUUUGCAUCUAGUUCGAUUUAUCCGCCACAAUGCUAGAAAAGCUGACCGCAUAUCCCGAUAUCCACGUCCUGGUUCCUCCGCUGUUGUUUUUCUUGCAUCUUGAUGCAUGGUUGCCCAGGAAAUUGUGCAUCUUAACUCGGUCCCGGAAGACGUAUGGUGUCUGCACCCGGCGAAAAUUGUCCUUGUGGGGGAAAACCACGACAUGAAUCUAUCAUACGCUGACUUACCAUAAUGCUUGUUUCCUGUGGGAUCCUGCCAGGAUCACGUUAAAGAACGUCGAGACACACGUCGAUUUCGCGGGCAGGCAGAGUAGGUGUACCUUUCCCAAUUCCAGGAACUCUCGGCCUACUACACGACCGCUGCCAGGAACUGGUAAAUGAAAAUGUUUCCCCAUCGCCGAAGAACGCUUGCGCUUUGCCACAGAUGUCAGGAACUGCCAGCUGAGCCCUAAAAGCAGAGAUACGAUCGCUACAUGCGGCGUACCACAGCCCUCUGGUAAUGAACGCUACUGUUCUCAGCACGUCUGGCAGCAACAAAAAAUAAUAAAAACCGCGAGCAAAAUUUUACUCAUGCUGAGAACUGAAAUGUUUAAAUUUAGUGCGAG